UCUCAGGCUGUGACUCUCCAAAGGGAAGAAUUUUCUCUUGUCUAAAAAAAAAGAACGCACUUCCUUUUAGAGUGUUACCAUGUGAGA
ensembl:miRNA